AAGGGGGUCAUUCUUUUUUAAAUGGACUAAAAAGGAAAGUAGGUCAUUCUUUUUUAAAUGGAGGGAGUAUUUGUAGAGUUAUUUUGGUAUUUUGAUUCGAAUAGUGACCUGUCUCUAUCCGUAGAGCCGUGAUCUAUCCAUAGACCCGUGGUCUAUGAAAUGAGAAUGCCUUAGAUUGAAAUCAAUUUUAAGACGUAAAUUCUUUUAAAAUAUGAUUGCUAAAAUAGUGAAAAUUUAAAGAUUAAUAGCGAAUUAGUUUGAUUAGGUGCAUUACUUUGAUUUCUAGCAAUUGUUGUGUUUUGAUACUGCAUGUUGGAUUUUGGUUCAGGUAUUGUAUGUUUGUGUAGUAAGCUAUUUAAUGGUGGGGUAUUUCUUAAUAAAUUUUUUUUUUUAGUGGGGGGGGGGGGGGGAUUAUUUGAGCAUUGGGUUAUUUCUGUUGAUAGAUUUAUGUUCUAUGAACUGAAAAUGGUAGAUUUGUUAGCGUAGAUUGUGUUAAAAAUGGCUAAAAAAGCAUCCUUUCUAAACGGAAAGACGGUACUGCUUCUAAUUCUACUGGUAGCAGUAGAAAAAGAAAAGCUGAGGUAGUUGAAAAUGUCUCAAAAAAGAAGAAAAUUGAAGAGGCAAUAUCCAAAUUAGAUUUGGAGUUAAAGGAGAUAAGCAACUACGUUGAUUCUGGUGAAGAUGUUGCCAAGAGUGGUGUUAGUGGCGAAAGUAAAGGGAGCGAGCAAAGUGGGAGAAAUGGUGAUAAUAGGGAUAAUGAUCCCUUGUCCAUGCCAUCUCUUUCAAGGUUCAUUUUCAUGGAGCGGUAUGACCUUCAAAUGAUAAUAGACGAGGUCGAAUCUUUUCUGACAAAGAUAUCGGUCAGAUCAAGAAUGACUGCUUAUCGAGAAUUUAAGCAAGUUCUUAUCGGCCAGGAAUUAAAGAAAAGAUUCAUGCGGUCCUAUUUUGGACCCUUGAAAAACCUACCGGAACAUCUCAAGUUCAUAGGCAGUUGGUCCAUUAUUUGUUGUUGUGAUGCAUCAAAAAUGAUAAGAUGCAUCAUGAGAUAUAAUUCUACGUUAAUAACAAGCCUGCCUGAUUUGGAUUGAAAGAUUUUUAUUUGAUCACGGGGAUGAACUGCUCGUUAUACCCCAGUGAAUCAAAAAUAAAGAAAGUGUUAGCAAAGCGGGAGAAUGUUUGCUUUAAGGUGAUGAAAAAUAAAAACAUUAUGACAGCCAACUUGUUACACCUGAUUAGAGGUAAUAAGCUGAACGAGGACCAGAAAUUUAAGUGUUAUUUAUUAUGGUUCUUGCACACCUUGUUUCUUGUAAAAUAUAUAACGAAGGUUGUCAACACAAAACUGAUUCGAAUGGUGAAUUCUUUGAGUUUCAUCGAGAAUUAUCCAUGGGGAAAAGAGACAUUUCAACUGACCAUGAACUAUUUGAAGAAGGAAAGUAACCUAAAGAAGCAGAAGGAAGUAUUUGAUGAGAACCAGAAGGCAUCCAUGCUUUAUUCAGAUUUUCCUGGGCUUUCAUGAUUUGGAUCUAUGAGGCCUUUCCUCAUCUUGGAAAAUUUACUGGAAAAUUAAUACAUUAGCCCUUUCCCAUUCCCCGCAUCCUUAGAUAGCACACUACAAAAAGUGACAAGAUAAUCGAAGGCGACCUAUUCAAGUAUAAAGAAAAAGUUACCGAGAACGUGCACCCGUACAUCAUCCCCACUGUUCGUGAGACAAAGAUGGAUUAUAUGAUUACGUUUAAGCAAUAUACGGAUGAGGUAAAGAAUAGCAUCCUCGGUGGCUUGAAGAAAGAGUUAGAAGGGGUGAUUGUCCUUACUUCAAAUGAGGGCAGUGAUGAUUAUGGGGAUUUGGGUGGUAACCCCAUUGAGGUAUGGAUUGGUGAUGAUGCUUCUUCGAGUACCUCCAAAGAUGCAGCGGGUAGCUUAUACCCUUCGGAUCUUCAUAAGCAUGUUGUUGUGCUUAAGGAAGCGUUGUUGGAUAUUGCUGUCUAUAUUUGAGUGAAAAGACUGAAUAAAAAGGAAAAGAAUGAGCGACAACACGAGCGAGUGCAUGUGGACCUUCGUGAAUCAGAGAGGAAUGAUGAAGGAGAAAAAAAAAGCAAAAUGGAUGAGUUGGCCACUACUAUGGCAGAAGAGAAACAAGAAGAAGAAUAAAAGGAGGACGAAUAAAAAAUGGAAGAAGAUAAGAGCCAAGAAGAAAGU